rnacentral:lncRNA from 1 species
CGGCCGGCCUUGUGGAUGAUACGGGCGGGCGUACACCGGGUGCGUCGACAAAGACCACCAUGGGGUCGUCGGGCAGCGACGGCGGUGGUGCGCAUGCAAACAGGGCCGGAUCGGCUUCAAUGAUCACGUCGCCGCCACGGGCGUGCCUGUCGUGCGGCGCCCUUUGCGUCGCGUGAUGUCGCUGACGGACGGCAUCUUCUUCGCGUCGGUCGCAGGCGCGCAAAUUGUUGGUCAGCGAAUCUAGCAUGCGGUUGAUAUCGUCAAUGCCGGGCGCGCAGUCGGCCGCCGGGCCUUGCAUGGCGCCUCGGGUCCGUGCGCUCCCUUCUUUUUUUUCGCUGGUUUGUUGUUUGAUUUACCUUUGGUUUUCGUCUUUGGUGUUUGUCUUUGAUCUCGUCGAGGCUCACUCCUUUUUUUUUUACCGACAACAACAACAGAGACUGCCGUGUGUGCCAAAAGGCCUGGGCACAAAGAGAGGGAAAAAGUCGAUCAACGAUCAAGGUGUAUCGGCGGGCCGAGGAGGCGGCGCGACCCGAUCCUUUUCCCUUGACUCGACGGCGUGCGACACGCAAUGCACGACCGCGCCGUGCCGUCCUCAACGGCAGCACACGGCCGGCCCAGGCCGCCGGGUCCUUCACAGCGAGAACCAAAAAAAAAAGAGAGGCAAACUAGACCGGUCCGCGCUUUGUCUACUAUGCACAAAGACAGGACAAAUAGGCACGCAAUGAUGGACCCCUUUUGACAAAAAAAUGGGAAAUGAAAAUGGGGUGAUGUGCAAAUGUGCAAAAAA